rnacentral:rRNA from 1 species
GACGGGGGAUGGCAAGUGUUAUCCGGAAUCACUGGGCGUAAAGCGUCUGACAGGUGGUUUCCUAAGUCCACUGUUAAACCUUGAGGCUCAACCUCAAAUCUGCGAUUGGAAACUAGGAGACUUGAGUAUAGUAGGGGUAGAGGGAAUUUCCAGUGGAGCGGUGAAAUGCGUAGAUAUUGGAAAGAACACCGAUGGCGAAGGCACUCUACUGGGCUAUUACUGACACUCGAGAGACGAAAGCUAGGGGAGCAAAUGGG